GUUCCGGGUCGCUGCACGGAUCACUGGCGGGCGGUGGGGGCUGGUUUGAUGCUCGCCGGCGCUCACGAGAGGCCCCAGAGGCGGGGCUCUGCCGGCUGCCCACAGAGCGGCAGGUGCGCAGGCUGGGGUUCCGGGGACGUAAGCAGGCCCCCAGUUUUCCUGGUGGCUUCUGUCCCCAAAGCUGUCCGAAGCGGGUUUGCCCAAGACCCAAGCAGGGGGCGGGACUGGGUGCUGGAAAGGCGACGCUGGGGGCAGAGGCGGGCUGCCCCGGCCUGGGAGUCUGAGCCUGGGGUUCCGGAUCCUCCCUGCGCGACCUUGGAAAAGUCAGUCCUCACUGGAGCUGUUUUCCGCCUGUCAAAUUAGAGAUGUUGGAUCCCCGCUCUCCCCUGCGCCUUUGACAGUUCAAGUAAGGGCGUGGCUGGAGGGAGUGAUCCAAACUGCCCUGCUGGCAGGGACCUUCGGACGUUAGGCAUCUUGUCUUUUACUGAACUUUGCCGUCCUUUUUCUCACCGGCUGACUUAACGAUGAAUCAAGAUUAUGAACAGACAGCCUAGGGACUGGCCAGGACAGAAUUCACUGACAUCCAGGCUGUUUUAAGCUAGUAGAUAAGCCAGACAACACUGUCUGAUUCCAGUCACUGAGGAUUACUGCAGUCAUUCAGAAGCUUAUCAUCUGUGCAGACUAGCCAGACAGCAAAAAUGUUUGCAAAGUUAAAGAAGAAAAUUGCAGAAGAAACUGCAGUGGCUCAGAGGCCAGGAGGUGCUACAAGGAUCCCACGGUCAGUGAGCAAGGAAUCCAUGGCAUCUGUGGGAGCUGACUCGGGAGAUGACUUUGCUUCUGAUGGAAGUAGCUCUAGAGAGGAUCUUUCAUCCCAACUUUUGAGAAGAAAUGAACAGAUACGGAAGUUGGAAGCCAGACUUUCUGACUAUGCUGAACAGGUCCGAAACUUGCAGAAGAUAAAAGAGAAGCUUGAAAUUGCAUUAGAAAAACACCAGGAUUCAUCCAUGCGAAAAUUUCAAGAGCAGAAUGAGACAUUCCAAGCCAACAAAGCCAAAAUGGCAGAAGGACUGGCUUCAGCAUUAGCCAGAAAGGACCAGGAAUGGUCAGAAAAACUAGAUCAGCUAGAAAAGGAGAAAAGAUUUUUGACAGCUCAGUUACAAGAAAUAGAGAACCAGAGUUUGAAUCUUUUCCAAAGGAGAGAUGAAAUUGAUGAACUAGAAGGGUUCCAGCAACAGGAACUAAGUAAAGUAAAGCACAUGCUUUUAAAAAAAGAAGAAAGUCUGGGGAAAAUGCAGCAAAAAUUGGAGGCACAGACCAGAGAACUUUGUCAAACCCAGGAGGAAUUGAUGACCUCUAAUCAGAUGUCAUCAGACUUAAGGCAGAAGCUAGAAGAGUUGCAGAGACGUUACUCAACGCUGGAAGAGCAGAGAGAUCAUGUGACAGCUGCAAAAGCAAGUGCAGAAAAUACGAUCACAGCCUUGGAGCAAAAGGAGCAAGAACUCCAAUCGUUCAUUCAGCAAUUGUCCAUUACCUUGCAGAAGGUCACUGCUGAAACUCAGGAGAAAGAAAAACUCAUCACACAUUUGCAAGAGAAGGUUGCAUCCUUGGAGAAGAGACUGGAACAGAACUUAUCGGGGGAAGAAUAUGUGCAGGAACUCGUGAAGGAGAAAAUAGUUGCUGAGCAAAAUUUGGAGGAUACCAGGCAGCAACUGUUGGCAGCCAGAAGCAGCCAGGUGCAGGCCAUCGGCGUCCUGGAGACUCGGGUGGAAGAGCUGGAGCAGAGCCUGCAGGCCUCUGAGGAGCGGCUCAGGCAGAGCAGCCACCUCGUAGCCGCCCAAGAGGCACAGAUCCAGCAGCUCGUGGCUGCGAACCAGGAGAGUAGCCUUGCACAGCAGCAAGUCCUUGCCCUGGAGCAGCAGUAUGCAGAGCAAAGAUGUGCACUGGAGGCCCAGAUUGUCGCCUUGGAGCAGGCACGGGCAGCUGACCAAACAGCUGCUAAGCAAGCAAUGAGUGAACUGGAGCGAGAGCAUGCUGCCCUGGAGGAGAGCCGGAAUGAGUGUGAACGUUCUUUACAGCAUCAUCAGAUAGAGCUGAAGAAGCUAAAGGAAGAGUGGAGCCAAAGAGAGAUCGUGAGCGUGGCCGUGGCCCAGGCCCUGGAGGAGGUGCGGAAACAAAGGGAAGAGUUCCAGCAACAGGCUGCUGAGCUAACAGCUGCAGUCGAUGAGAAGGAGCGGAUUCUGCAGGAAAAAGCAGAGAUGCUUCUCCAGAAGGAGCAGGAGAUCCUCCAGUUGAAGAAAGGUCAGGACUGUGCCCUGCUGCAGAUGCACCAGCUACAGGGUGAGCUGGAGGCGUUGAGGAGUCACAGGGCCCAGGAGGCCACCCCAGCAGAAGCACAGGAGGACCUGCUGAGGCUGCGGGACCUGGAGCUACCCGUAACUGCGAAGGAUGCACAAGACCCUGUGUACGAGCUGCCCCUUGCAGAAGGAACACCAAAUGGAGAGGUGCGGACCUUGGAUCUAGGGCAGCUACAGAAAGAGAAGCAGGACUUGGAGCAGCAGCUUACAGAGAAAAAUAAGACUAUAAAGCAGAUGCAGCAGAGGAUGCUGGAGCUCAAGAAGACGCUGCAGAGGGAGCUGAAAAUCAAACCCGACAGUGAGCUUUUUGAAGUCCGGGAGAAGCCAGGCCCCGAGAUGCCAAACCUGGCACCCUCUGUCACGAAUAACGCUGACCUGACUGAUGCUCGAGAGAUCAACUUCGAGUACCUUAAACAUGUCGUUUUAAAAUUCAUGUCCUGUCGAGAAUCUGAGGCUUUUCAUCUGAUCAAAGCUGUGUCAGUGCUGCUGAACUUUUCUCAAGAGGAAGAGAACAUGCUCAAAGAAACCCUAGAAUAUAAGAUGUCCUGGUUUGGAUCCAAACCAACUCCCAAAGGCAGCAUCCGACCAUCUAUCUCAAACCCUCGGAUACCAUGGUCCUAGAGGAACCUCCCAAGGAUGAGCUCCAUGGCUUGACACCUUUUCCUGUGAAAAGAACACUGACACACCAGUCUGGAAGGAUCCUCCCCAGACUGGGUUUGGGCAAAUAAACCCGUGUAAUUUUAAUGAAACCAAAGCCUAGUCCCACCUCCCAAGCAUCACAGUGGUUCUGCAAAGAGCUGGGAGGCACAGGCUUGUCACUUUGGUGGAAGUUUGCAAGACCCAGGAGGGCUUCAGGACGACAGAUGGGGGCCUUACCUUUGCUACGUGUUUUUGGAGUUUAGUUCUUCUGACAAACUUAUCCAGAAUCAGCUAAGUGAAUGCCUCCAAGAGCGGACACAGCUCAGGCCCCACACGGAAGACUAUGGCUAAUCACACAAACUGAAGACUUUUAAAAGCCUUGAUCAAUUAUUAAAUGUUUGGCACUUUAUUAAAUAAGCUCCAAAGUUACAUACAAAUCAAAGCAGUAAGAAACAAUAAAUAGUAUUCAGCAAACACCUCUCCGUAGCAGCCACCAGCAGGUGGCUGAGGUGCAUGGGACUGCCAUGGCAGGAAGGCCUGGAGAUUGCCAUGCUCCUUCUUAGGGGUGGCCCUGCAGAGGCCCGACUCCCUCCCACGCCGCACUGCCAGGACAGUGGAGCUCUCAGUCGCCACCAUCCCAUCGCUACCACUUUGGACAUACAGGAAACACACCGCAAUGGAUAUACUAAUAAGCCAAGAGCUUUAUUGAUGCAGCAGGCACUUUACAAUGACCCGAGAGUCUGCCUUCUCCGGAAAGACAGGGUAUCUGUACAAACUCUCAGGUUUUCCCACAUCUGAAAAACAAGUUCUCCCUUUCACCACAGCCCUUGGAUCUGCACCUGCCCAACUCAUCCCUCCCUCUCUCAAACAGGCAGCGCACCGCAGUUAACACCUGACCGACACCAGCCAGCCACUCUGCAGAUGGUCAAGGGUCACUGCUACAGAACUCUGUAGACAGUGGCAGACUCAGAUCCUGCAAAGGACUUAGAGAACAGCGACUCUCCCUCCACCUCAAAAAUAAAAUACAUUUCAGUAAUAUGUGUCCUGAAAUUUGCAGUUGGGAGUUCCUAGGAUGAUGGUCCAUUGUCAAUCCCUUCUUCACCAGCCUGGGCAUCAAAUUCUUCAGGGUAACACAAGUCCUUUCCUUCUUUUAUUUUGUUUUUGUUUUAAACAGUCUUUCUUGCUGUAAGAACUCUUAUAAUGGAGCCUAGUCCUCCUACAGCUAAGGCCUGUGGGGCAGGAAAAGGAAAGAAGUCAGAUAAGACCUGGCCAGAGAGGGAGCCCAGUUCACCAGGGAGAUGAUAGCAGGAGCCUGUGCUCCUCUGAGACCCAAAUCCUUUCUGCCCGGGUCCGUCUGACAAAGGAGUCCCACAGCCAAGGCCUGAGAGCAGACUGGCUUGCAGCCCCAACAAGCUCACAGACAGCCCGUUUCUCCAAUAGUUGCUUCCAAACUAUUGGCACGGCCCUGAGCAAAGAAAUGUAUAGCACCCACGAGAGCUGCCUGCCAACAGGGCUGGCGCCACAUCACCUCAAAGGUGAAAAGACUUGGCCUGCACACCACAGAGAGGGCACCACUGCCACCUGCGCCCCCUGAAGCCAAGCAGCCAAAGGUGGGAGGCACAGCCACACCAGCACCUCGGCUGCCUCAGGAUGGACCCAGACAGAAGCACUCUUAAAGACAACAAGGCUGAGCUCAGCAGGAAGGACAGCAUCAGUCAGAGCCUGGUCCCAUUAACAGUGGGCAUGCCUGCUAUGGUCUCUAGAGAGGGGAGUGGGGAGGGAUACUGGCACGCAGGCAGGACAAGGACGUGACCAGAACCUCCCAAGCAGAGGACGCACCAGCUGCUGCUGCUUCAGGUGGAAGCAGGCCACAUUAAAUAAUCAAGUCUUCUGCCCACUGCACUGGCUGGAGACAGUCCAGCGGGAGGGCUUGCCCAGCCCGCACCCAAGAGCACCUCACAUGCGUCUCCAGUGGCCCUUCACAUCAGGGCUGGGAAAGUGUCACACAGCCCCCGCCAGCAGGCCUUCCUCCGCCCUCACCAUGCCACAGCAUCUGCUACCAAGGGCACCUGCUCUGCCUGGCACCUCCACAGCCGGGAAUCGAGAGCAGCCGUGAUUUCCACAGACAGGAUGUGACCGAGCAAUGUCCGGCCAGGUUUAAGCCUGUCAUCCUCACAGGCUGUCACUGUCCUUCCUUUUCUGGAAACUGACCUGCUGGUGUGGGCCCCAGCCGAGGCAGGGCCCUCCGACCCAUUCACGUACCUUUUCAUGCCACUGGAGUAACACUGCGCUGCUGUUUUCUGUGGGCUUCUCAAACCCUUUAUAAAUGUACUUCAUUAACAAGUCAAUGCCGUUCCUGUCCAGGGACUGCACAGCCUGCUCAAUUUCGCUGCUCUUAAAGUUUGUGAGCACUUUCAGCACCACGCCCUGGGCUCGCUCCUACGGCGGGAAGAAGGCCAGGUCAGCACUAUCCCCAGGCACAGCCACGGCUUGUUAACAACACUGCCUGAUCUCUAAUUUAGGGUGGUUAAAAAAAAAGUAAGCGGGCUAAAUAAAAUUCUUGUAUUGCUUCAAA